rnacentral:lncRNA from 1 species
UAUUACACUUUCUCAAAUGUGUUCUUAGUCGUCCCGUUCCCCCUUGUGUACCCGUAGUUACAUGUUUCAUGAUCAAUUUACAUUUCGUGCAAGUAACAGUAGUUUUUUCCUCAUUUUGUACCAAAAAUUUCCAUACUAAAGAUCUUUUAACACGUACAACGGUCUUUGAAAAAGUAGGUAAAGAGGGGCUUCAUCUUGUUCCAGUAAUUCGGUAGCCGGAC